GAUGAAGAACGUAGCGAAAUGCGAUAAGUAAUGUGAAUUGCAGAAUUCAGUGAAUCAUCGAAUCUUUGAACGCACAUUGCGCCCCCCAGUAUUCUGGCGGGCAUGCCUGUUCGAGCGUCAUUUCAACCAUCAAGCCCCAGGCUUGUGUUGGGGACCUGCGGCUGCCGCAGGCCCUGAAAACCAGUGGCGGGCUCGCUGUCACACCGGGCGUAGUAGAUUUUAUCUCGCUCAGGGCGUGCUGCGGGUUCCGGCCGUUAAAAAGCCUUUUUUACCCAAGGUUGACCUCGGAUCAGGUAGGAAGACCCGCUGAACUUAAGCAUAUCAAUAAGCGGAGGA
rnacentral:misc_RNA from 1 species